CUGUCAACUUAUAUAAAAUCUUUACUACUAUUAAGGCUGUAAGGGGUAGGUUGCCUCCCCUGGUUCUGCCUUCGGUGAAUCUGCACCGUCCGCUCGCUUCCGUAUAUCUACACCGUCUGCCUGCCCACUUUUUUAUAACUUGAGGAUUUAUGCUGGGAUUAUGUGAGAUGUGAUCGACCUGUUUUGGGAAAUAUUUGUGCAGGUAGAGCAGAUUUGGAAGGUUGCAGGGAGUGAAGUGUGUGAUUGCAGGGAGGAACCUUUACAUGAGGUUCAGCUGCAGCACAGGCGAUGCCAUGGGGAUGAACAUGGUCUCCAAAGGUGUACAGAACAUGCUGGACUACCUCCAGGCUGACUUCCCUGAUAUGGAUGUCAUCAGCAUAUCAGACGCAGUUAAUGCUUAAUCCUCAGAGCUACAUAUAACCAAGUGGUGCUUACCUGGAUUUGAGGACCUCUGAUGCUUGUUUGUCUCAAGAGUGCUGGUCGGUUCCUGUUGGCUAUAAGAUAUUCAGAUAGUGUAUGCCUGUCCAACUGAAAUGCAGUACUCGCGAUCCAACCUAUUUGGGAUGCAGUACUCGCGCAAGCGCUACUUCGUGCUCGAGGACGCCGCGCUCCGCUGCUUCAAGUCUGCGCCGUCCUCCAAGGGCGAGGUACCCUAUUGCCACCACUGAAUAACUACAGGCCCCCUCCAAUCAUGUUUCGUUGUUUUUCCCUGAUCCGUAAUUUGAUUUUAGUUGUCUUUUGUGCUUCAAGUCUGCGCCGUCCUCCAAGGGCGAGGUACCCUAUUGCCACCACUGAAUAACUACAGGCCCCCUCCAAUCUUGUUUCGUUGUUUUUCCCUGAUCCGUAAUUUGAUUUUAGUUGUUUUUUGUGCUCCGUGAUUUGAUUUUGGAUAGUGAAGAUAAACUGAUGCAUAAUCCAGCACUUGAUCCGAGGCCAGCUUCUGUCGAGCGACUGAUGCGAAGACAUCUCUGUAUCUGAGUCCUUAACAUCCUGUAAUGGUUUUGACCAUUGUUUUCUAUUCUUGUGCUAUUGAAUUGCAUCUCUAUAUUUUUCUUUGUAGUAUCUGAUGGCGAAACCUCGAAACAAUCUUAGAACACAUUUCGACACAUUGCUAGCAGCACUUUGAGUGAUAAGUAUAUUAUUUUCUAAUGAUGCUGCAAUUAUGAUUCAAUUCUACAAGGUGUGAUGGCAGCUGAGCUAUGUUUCUUCAACUAACCAAAAGUACACUCGUGGAAAUGAAAAUGUGUUUGAUGCCUUUUUUUGCAGCGCUACGCGCUGCGCAGGUGGAUUCUUUCAUGGUGUUCGCAGUCUAAGUUUCGGGGUUGACCUUCAAGAAAUAAGGCUGAUGGGUGUACUGCAGAGAAUUGCAAUAACUUAUCUACUGACCGCCCUCUGUGAGAUUUGGAUCCGAGGAGAUGAAGAUGUAGACUAUGGAUACGAUUUGCUCAAGCGAUACCGCUACUAGCUGUGAGUUUAGUUAGACCAAAAGUACUCCCCUUUCUGCACUAUGGGAAGGAUCACGAGCCUAGGCUACUAACGACAAGCAGGCCUUCACCGCUGCGC